CGCAUCUGUGCAUGCAGCAUAUCAAUAAGCGGAGGAAAAGAAACUAACAAGGAUUCCCCUAGUAACGGCGAGUGAAGCGGGAAGAGCUCAAAUUUGAAAUCUUAAAGGGUUUCCCUUUACGAAUUGUAGUUUAAAGAAGUGUUUUCUGUUGAGGUUUUGGUAAAAGUUCUUUGGAAUAGGACAUCAUAGAGGGUGAGAAUCCCGUAUUUGACCUUUACUUUCAACUUUGUGAUACACUUUCAAAGAGUCGGAUUGUUUGGGAAUGCAGUCCAAAUGGGUGGUAAAUUUCAUCUAAAGCUAAAUAUUGGCGAGAGACCGAUAGCGAACAAGUACCGUGAGGGAAAGAUGAAAAGAACUUUGAAAAGAGAGUUAAACAGUACGUGAAAUUGUCAAAAGGGAAGCGUUUGACACCAGUGUUGUUUUUCUGAAAAUCAAUUAAAGAACUGUUUAUGCUAAGUUGUUUAGACUUUAUCAGCUAACUGUUUAGUUUUGAGCUUUUCUUUAAUGCACUUUUCAGUUAACAAGUCAACAUCAAUUUCUUUUGCUGUAAAAAAGCUUGAGGAAGGUGGCUUGAGAUUCGUCUUAAGUGUUUAUAGCCUCUUGCCUAUGCAGUCGGAGAGAUUGAGGUCUGCAGCGUAGAUCCUUCGGGGCUAAAUGCAUUUGUGCUAAGUUAUAGCAUUUUAUAGACAACUUGUUGACUAUGAUUUGUCUUGUAGCUUACUCGCUUAUGUUAUUUUACCUACGCUUAGGAUGUUGACGAGACUGUCGAUCUC
rnacentral:rRNA from 1 species